rnacentral:rRNA from 1 species
AACCUCCGCAAUGUGAGAAAUCGCGACGGGGGGAUCCCAAGUGCCAUUCUUAACGGGAUGGCUUUUCAUUAGUGUAAAGAGCUUUUGGAAUAAGGGCUGGGCAAGACCGGUGCCAGCCGCCGCGGUAACACCGGCAGCUCUAGUGGUAGCAGUUUUUAUUGGACCUAAAGCGUCCGUAGCCGGUUUAAUAAGUCUCUGGUGAAAUCCUGUAGCUUAACUGUGGGAAUUGCUGGAGAUACUAUUAGACUUGAGACCGGGAGAGGUUAGAGGUACUCCCAGGGUAGAGGUGAAAUUCUGUAAUCCUGGGAGGACCGCCUGUUGCGAAGGCGUCUAACUGGAACGGUUCUGACGGUGAGGGACGAAAGUUAGGGGCGCGAACCGGAUUAGAUACCCGGGUAGUCCUAACUGUAAACGAUGCGGACUUGGUGUUGGGGUGGCUUUGAGCUGCUCCAGUGCCGAAGGGAAGCUGUUAAGUCCGCCGCCUGGGAAGUACGGUCGCAAGACUGAAACUUAAAGGAAUG